GCUGAUAUAGCUCCAACUGGUAGAGCGUCUGUUUUGUAAUCAGAAUGUUGUGGGUUCGAGUCCUACUAUCAGCACCA
rnacentral:tRNA from 1 species